AGAAAAGAAAAAAGGAAGGGCACAGCAGACUUCUUUUAGAAUCGAGCUAGUCAGCCUCUUUGUCAUGUCUUUCGACUGUUUCUGAUGAAAACUCUACAUAUACAAUUAACGAUUGCCGAUCAGAAAACAUCAACACGUUCAACUCCAGAAAACUCAACAUACAGUACCUUUUUGCUGUUGGGAAAACCCUAAAAAUGAAGAAAAAUUUGCUUGGAAUUAUUUUCUUCUGCUGCCUCGUGUCUUUUAGUCGAGCAACUCAAGACAUCUCAAUUCCGGCGAAGCAAGAUGAUGAAGGUUCUCAACACUUGGUCUAUCAAAAUCAUCUUCAAGGUCCAAGGGAGCAGGAGGAAAAGCCAGGAAUGAUCGAAAGAGAAAUCAACAAACUAGAAGGGAAUGCAAUAAUGAAGAAAGGAGAGGGAGGAAAAGCAUACGGUCGUGGAGAUGUCAUCAAGAGACGAUCGAAUAAAAGUGGAGGAUCGUCUUUAAUGUCAAGAAAAGACUACUCCGUGGAUUUCUCAUCAUCAAUCUGUUUGGUGCAAAUAAUCAUUUCUUUGAUUCUUUCUUUUAUUUUCUUUCCUUUCCCUGCAUAAUAAACAGGGCGUCGUCACUUUUGGUGUUAACAAUCAAUUACAAAUUUGAGUUGUCCCAUUAGUAGUAGGGUGCUGAA